rnacentral:tRNA from 1 species
GAGGGUGUAGCUCAGUUGGUAUGAUCGUGUGCUUAGCACGCACAAGGUCCUGGGUUCGAUCCCCAGUGCCUCCA